AUGAACAUUUUACGUUAUCCAAUAGUAUUACUUAGAAUUUUAAUUAGAACUUUAUCACAACUUUUUAAUAGUAACCAUACUUUAAGAAUCAUUGUGGUUGGAACUAAAAAAAGCGGAAAAACCAGCAUUAUAAGAAGAUUAGCAGGAGACUGUUUUUAUGAAAACGGGUAUACUACAAUUCCAGACUCAACUAGUUUACGCAUGAAUUAUUGCUACUCAGUGGAUGGUACUAUUAGGCAAAAAGAACUUGAAAUAACAGAAUUAUGCGUUUCGACCGAAGAAACAAUAUUAAUAGAUUGCUUGAAAAAGGCAGACGGUAUUAUACUGGUGUACUCCACCGAGAAUACACAAGAUAUGAAGUACUUACACAGUACUUUAGCAAAAUUACUUCGAGUAUGCACGCAUAAAAAACGUAGCUGCUCAAUUAUUUAUACGUGUAAUAAAAUUGACUUAAUAGAUUCAAAUGUGCUAAACAAGUACCUAGAAAACCUUCAUUCCAAUGAAGUUGAUCAAAUGCCGGAAAGAUUUGACGUUUCUGCCAAAACAAAUGAAGGAAUUUCAGAGGCUUUUUUGUAUUUACUUAAAAGCUGUCUCAAUCGUUAA